rnacentral:rRNA from 1 species
UACGUAGGGGGGCAAGCGUUGUCCGGAAUCAUUGGGCGUAAAGCGCGCGUAGGCGGCCCGAUAAGUCCGCUGUAAAAGUCCAGGGCUCAACCCUGGAAAGCCGGUGGAUACUGUCGGGCUAGAGUCCGGAAGAGGCGAGUGGAAUUCCUGGAUGUAGCCGGUGGAAUGCGCAGAUAUCAGGAAGAACACCUAUGGCGAAGGCAGCUCCCUGGGACGGUACUGACGCCUGAGACGCGAAAGCGUGGGGAGCGAACAGG